GAGUGAAGCUGCCUGCAGUUACUCCAUGGGAAAAGGGAGUUUGGGGUGCUAAACCCAGAGAGGGGGGAGUUAGAAGAUGUAUGAAGGAGUCUGGGGAAAGAGCAACAGGGUCUGGGAGAAAGUAGACCCCAUUUGUUAGACCUAGGCUCUCUGGACUGGAACCUGGAAUAGUGGGUGGGCCUGGGUUCCCCUACUAGCUACUGAGGGAAGUAGUGCAGACCAGACAGUGGGACAAUCAUCUGAUAGAAGUUUGAUACUCUGGAAUGCACUAUAGUGACCUGACUGGAGGGCCAAUCCACAAAGAGAGAGCAUCUGAGUUGCAGAGAGAGAGAGAGGCAGCAGGGCAUGCGAAUGAGUGGCAGAAAGGGGUGUUGGACCUGCAAGGAGUUAAUCCCCAAAGCAGCCAGGUGAAGGUGCUCCAGAGGUGAAUGGAACCUGUUACAAGGAGUAAAUACAGAAUGGGAAGGUGGGGAAUCAUCAGCAUGUGCAAUCUUUCAGUGGAAUAAGAAGUCAUGAGAGAAGGGGAUGACAAAAUCAGAAUCCUUGUUCAGGAUUCUGUCUCACCUUUCAGUUUUUUAACCUCUUACCAAAUCUUCCUCUGUUUGCCUUGAUGACCCAAGCCAUAAUCAAUCAUCACUUAGCCUUGAACAAAUGUCCUGAACACCAGCCUCAUAAAAUUAAGUACAAUAUAAAUGUAUAGAUCUACCACAAAAGUGGAAGCUCCUGCACUGAAAUAGAACAAGAAGAGGCAAAUCUUGUGAUAUUCACAGCCGAAAGGAAGAGGAGAGAACUGGAAAGAAUGAAGACAGCAGGUCAGAUUUGAUAUCUGGAUCAGGAAUUUGAAGCUGCCUCCACCAGAAGAAAAAAGAUUCAAGAGACAGUAGUCAGAGAGGAUUAUUGUCUGCCUCUCUUUACAAGAGACACAUGAUGAAAAGAAAAAAAAGACAUUUUCACAUAGCUAGUCCCUAUGAUAGCCUAUUCCUUUGAACACAUCGCACUGUUUCAGUCAUAUGGAUUAGCCACUGGCUCUUGACCUCAGACACAAACACACAUAUGAUCAUCCCUGAGAUAGACUGGGGAGAUGAGUCACAAUGUUCAGGAAGAAUUUCAAAACAAAUGGACUCCUUUGUUCUUGCAGCUGUCUGUUGAAACUAACACUUCAUGUUUUUUUUUAUUAUGAUGCUAUUAAUUUGUGCUCAUUAUGCUCCCAUGUUAAGUUUCUGUUUGUUUUUUGAAUCAGCUAAUUAAUACAGCUGGUUGGUUUUGCAGAGGAGGGGAUAUGCAAAUAAAACUGUUUGGGAAUAAAUA